UAGCCGCAAUCUUCUGUGCUAAGGUAGCAUAAUCAUUAGUUCACUAAUUAUGAAAUAGAAUGAAUGAUCUCACGAAUAAACUAAUUUUUUUAUUAUCUUUAAAUAAAUUCAUUUUGUAGUCAAAAAGCUCCAUUUUCAAAGAAAGACAACAAGACCCUAACGAACUUUUACUAAAAGUUUAACUGGGGCGGUUAUCAAGAACAUCUUCCUUCCUCUUUCCAUUUAUCCAAAAAAUUUGACUAUUCCAAGUUACCGUAGGGAUAACAGCAUAAUGACUUUCUCAAGCUCUUAUAUAAAUAGUUCUUAUGACCUCGAUGUUGAAUUAAAUACCUAGUCCAAGCAAGAUUAGAACUUUUUCAGGAAGUCUGUUCGACUUUUAAUUUUUUACAUGAU
rnacentral:rRNA from 1 species